AAUCUCUCCUGCUUCGGAAUGAGGCCGGCCUGCUCUUGGAGAAGACGAAACUCUUGGCGUUCCUUCUCCUCCUGGAUCUGCUUGCGGAGCUCGUCCAACUUCUUCUGCUCGGCCUCAUGCUUUUGCUCCGCCUUCCACACGUUCUCUAUGUUCCGAAGACUGCCAGUGUGCCAUCCUUUCUUGUUCAAGAACUUCAACGCCAUGUCUCUAGCCGAGUUUCAAAUUGGGGCUCAGAUUUUCAGCAACCGGCGCUGUGGUUUUGUGUGGAAGAAUCCGAUUUUCAGAUUGGGAAUCGGACUAUCGCCGCCGCCUCAGCUGCUA
rnacentral:misc_RNA from 1 species